rnacentral:lncRNA from 1 species
UUGAUAAAACUAUCAGGAAGCCAGGAACGGAGAAGAAAGGAGAGAAAGGAAGAGGAAGAAAAGAAAAAAACAAGACAGUGGUACCCCAGGCCCACCUGCCCCAGGACAACCCUUGGUCUCAACCUAGACCUUAAGGACUAGGAUGUCUCAUGCACUGCCAUUCUUACAGGAACCAGGGAUGAUCCUGCACUGUAGAAAGCAUUGAUUUCUCCCAGCGUUUACUACAGCACAGUCCAGAACAGAGAGAGAGAGAGAGAGAGGGAGAGAGAGAGAGAGAGAGAGCAUGAGAAUGAAAGGCCAGUUAUUGGCUCUGCAGUUUAGUUACUGAACACUGCAUACAGGAGCUGCAGCCCCACAAG